UACGUAGGGUGCGAGCGUUAAUCGGAAUUACUGGGCGUAAAGCGUGCGCAGGCGGUUUUGUAAGCCGGGUGUGAAAUCCCCGGGCUUAACCUGGGAAUGGCAUUUGGGACUGCAAGGCUUGAGUGCGGCAGAGGAGACUGGAAUUCCUGGUGUAGCAGUGAAAUGCGUAGAUAUCAGGAGGAAUACCGAUGGCGAAGGCAGGUCUCUGGGCUGACACUGACGCUCAUGCACGAAAGCGUGGGGAGCAAACAGG
rnacentral:rRNA from 1 species